rnacentral:rRNA from 1 species
GUUUGAUCCUGGCUCAGAUUGAACGCUGGCGGCAGGCCUAACACAUGCAAGUCGAGCGGUAACAGAACUAGCUUGCUAGUUGCUGACGAGCGGCGGACGGGUGCGUAACACGUAGGAAUCUGCCCAGUAGUGGGGGAUAGCCCGGAGAAAUUCGGAUUAAUACCGCAUACGCCCUAAGGGGGAAAGCAGGGGAUCUUCGGACCUUGCGCUACUGGAUGAGCCUGCGUCGGAUUAGCUUGUUGGUGGGGUAAAGGCCUACCAAGGCAACGAUCCGUAGCUGAUCUGAGAGGAUGAUCAGCCACACUGGGACUGAGACACGGCCCAGACUCCUACGGGAGGCAGCAGUGGGGAAUAUUGCACAAUGGGCGAAAGCCUGAUGCAGCCAUGCCGCGUGUGUGAAGAAGGCUCUAGGGUUGUAAAGCACUUUCAGCGAGGAGGAAAGGUUGACGAUUAAUACUCGUUAGCUGUGACGUUACUCGCAGAAGAAGCACCGGCUAACUCCGUGCCAGCAGCCGCGGUAAUAAGGGCGAAU